AACGGGUGAGUAACACGUGAGAAAUCUGCCCCUGACUCUGGGAUAACUGCGGGAAACUGUAGCUAAUACCGGAUACUUUCCCUGGUGGGCAUCCACUGGGGAAGAAAGAAUUUCGGUCAGGGAGGAUCUCGCGGCCUAUCAGCUAGUUGGUGAGGUAACGGCUCACCAAGGCGACGACGGGUAACCGGCCUGAGAGGGUGACCGGUCACACUGGGACUGAGACACGGCCCAGACUCCUACGGGAGGCAGCAGUGGGGAAUAUUGCACAAUGGGCGCAAGCCUGAUGCAGCAACGCCGCGUGAGGGAUGAAGGCCUUCGGGUUGUAAACCUCUUUUAGCAGGGAAGAAGCGAAAGUGACGGUACCUGCAGAAAAAGCACCGGCUAACUACGUGCCAGCAGCCGCGGUAAUACGUAGGGUGCAAGCGUUGUCCGGAAUUAUUGGGCGUAAAGAGCUCGUAGGCGGUUUGUCACGUCUGCUGUGAAAAUCCAAGGGUCAACCUUGGACUUGCAGUGGGUACGGGCAGGCUAGAGUGCGGUAGGGGAGAUGGGAAUUCCUGGUGUAGCGGUGGAAUGCCCAGAUAUCAGGAGGAACACCAAUGGCGAAGGCACAUCUCUGGGCCGUAACUGAC
rnacentral:rRNA from 1 species